AUCCAGCUGACGAGUCUCGAAAAAGACGAAACUCGCGUACUGGAU
rnacentral:hammerhead_ribozyme from 1 species